GACCCCUUAGCUCAGUGGUAGAGCGUUGCAUUCCAGUUUCAUCUCGUUAAUGAGUGUUGUGUCGCAAAGGCCGUCCGUUCGAUCCGGGCAGGGGUCA